ACUGUCUUCUGAUCCAGGAAUGUGCGUGGUGUGUCUGUCCAGGUGAUACUGCUCUGGUUGCUGCCUGUGCCCUACCCCCAGCCUUGGUUUUGGAGUUGAGUGCCCUCACCUCCAGUGGCAUCCAUCCAGACACCAGCACUGACACUGGCCGUGCUCAGAUCUGCCUCAGCCCUGAAGACACAACUGACAAAUAGAAGGGGGCCAUGCCCUGU